rnacentral:rRNA from 1 species
UAGGGAAUCUUCGGCAAUGGACGAAAGUCUGACCGAGCAACGCCGCGUGAGUGAAGAAGGUUUUCGGAUCGUAAAACUCUGUUGUUAGAGAAGAACAAGGACGUUAGUAACUGAACGUCCCCUGACGGUAUCUAACCAGAAAGCCACGGCUAACUACGUGCCAGCAGCCGCGGUAAUACGUAGGUGGCAAGCGUUGUCCGGAUUUAUUGGGCGUAAAGCGAGCGCAGGCGGUUUCUUAAGUCUGAUGUGAAAGCCCCCGGCUCAACCGGGGAGGGUCAUUGGAAACUGGGAGACUUGAGUGCAGAAGAGGAGAGUGGAAUUCCAUGUGUAGCGGUAAAAUGCGUAGAUAUAUGGAGGAACACCAGUGGCGAAGGCGGCUCUCUGGUCUGUAACUGACGCUGAGGCUCGAAAGCGUGGGGAGCAAACAGG